rnacentral:rRNA from 1 species
GACGAACGCUGGCGGCGUGCUUAACACAUGCAAGUCGAACGGAAAGGCCCUGCUUGCAGGGUACUCGAGUGGCGAACGGGUGAGUAACACGUGGGUGAUCUGCCCUGCACUUCGGGAUAAGCUUGGGAAACUGGGUCUAAUACCGGAUAGGAGCCAUCUCUAGUGUGGUGGUUGGAAAGUUUUUUCGGUGUAGGAUGAGCUCGCGGCCUAUCAGCUUGUUGGUGGGGUAAUGGCCUACCAAGGCGGCGACGGGUAGCCGGCCUGAGAGGGUGUACGGCCACAUUGGGACUGAGAUACGGCCCAGACUCCUACGGGAGGCAGCAGUGGGGAAUAUUGCACAAUGGGCGCAAGCCUGAUGCAGCGACGCCGCGUGGGGGAUGAAGGCCUUCGGGUUGUAAACUCCUUUCGCUAGGGACGAAGCUUUUUUGUGACGGUACCUAGAUAAGAAGCACCGGCUAACUACGUG